UACGGAGGGUGCAAGCGUUAAUCGGAAUUACUGGGCGUAAAGCGUGCGCAGGCGGUUUGUUAAGUCCGUUGUGAAAGCCCCGAGCUCAACUUGGGAAUUGCAGUGGAUACUGGCAGGCUGGAGUACGGUAGAGGAAGGUGGAAUUCCCGGUGUAGCAGUGAAAUGCGUAGAUAUCGGGAGGAACACCAGUGGCGAAGGCGGCCUUCUGGACCAAUACUGGACGCUCAUGCACGAAAGCGUGGGGAGCAAACAGG
rnacentral:rRNA from 1 species